rnacentral:misc_RNA from 1 species
AAGUCGUAACAAGGUUUCCGUAGGUGAACCUGCGGAAGGAUCAUUACAAAUAAAGCCGGUAGGAGGUGGGGUCUUGAUCUGUAAGUGGUAGAGCGAACAGUCCGGCUGCCUCCCGAAAUGUCUUACAUGCCCCCCACACGCCUGAAGGCCGAAUUACAAACCCGCUUAGAUUAUCUACCAUCUUGUUUGCUUUGGGGUGCUUGCGAGUCCCCAGCAGGACCCAAAUCAUUUGCAUUUGUGACGUCUGAGUACUAUAUAAUAUUUAAAA